CAACAGAUUACUACAGGCUAAUUCCCCACAGACACCAGUCAGUUACCUUUUGCUUCCACAGGGCACGGCCAGCUUCUCUACUGGCCUUCCAUGUUUUCUACUUCGCUACCUACCAAGAAAGAUGAGCUACUCUGCUGGAUUGUGAAGAGCCUCACAACGGACCAAAAUUACUAAGGGAAUGCAUAAACUCAGCUCUUCUUUCUGCCUCCGUAUCCAUGAAGUUCGCUGGUUGUAUGUCCAGUGGCACAUGUGCUCUCAAGUUCACGCACUCAUCUCUGAGUUGUUCCCCUUCAUCUGGCUCC